UCUCCACUGCCUGGAACGUACCGUCCUGGCCAUACCUAACCUCUACUGUUUUCUGCGGCUAGCGCCCUUGCUGAUGUUCCUCAACAUCGGAGCACGUAGCCGCUUACGCAGACUUCGAUGUCAUUCAUCUUGAGCGAGUUUUAUACCAGCCUGUCCAGAGUUCUAUCUGGGAAAUUUAGAUUUCGUUGGAAUUUCAAAAAACCAUUCGAAUCGAUAAUUCACUGUUAGAGACGAGAGGCUAAUUUUUUCAAACGAUCGUACCUAAUUCACUCAUCGUUGCCAGGCACGAGAAAAAGUGGAUAUAUAGAGGCGCGAGAACAGCAUGCUUUCGACAAUCGUCAACGAGAUACGUCGGUCCACGCAAUGACGUCAGAGGCUGGUCCAAUCCUGUCGAAUACGUCCGUGGCCCGAUCUCACCCUAUUGAGCGAGAGAGAAAGGAAGAUGCGGUGUAUACGUACAUAAGGUAAGCUAGACAAAGACGGAAUGAUAGGUAUAUAGAUAUCGACAGGGAGGAAAGAGACAGAGAAAGAGAGUCGCAGAGGGACGCAAGAGCCAGCAAAUAAGAGCACAGUCCGACAAAUAGAAGGAGAAGACAAUUCGAGUUCCGCUCUCCUGCUCUUACGAGACGUUGUGCACGCUGAUUCAAGCCUUGCGAUAUUGUUGCCAGAAUUGUUCGUUAUAAUUUACAAUGUUCAAAAUAUUCCUGAUGUGAUCGUUGAGACAAAUUCUGAUUUUCUAUGACAUAUAACGCGUUUGAGCACAAAUACAUAUAAGUAUUUUUCAUACA